AUUGAACGCUGGCGGCAUGCUUUACACAUGCAAGUCGAACGGGCUUGGGGGCUUGCUCCCAAGUUAGUGGCGAACGGGUGAGUAAUACAUCGGAACGUACCGUGUAGUGGGGGAUAACGUAGCGAAAGUUACGCUAAUACCGCAUACGAUCUACGGAUGAAAGCAGGGGACCUUCGGGCCUUGUGCUAUACGAGCGGCCGAUGUCUGAUUAGCUAGUUGGUGAGGUAAAGGCUCACCAAGGCGACGAUCAGUAGCGGGUCUGAGAGGAUGAUCCGCCACACUGGGACUGAGACACGGCCCAGACUCCUACGGGAGGCAGCAGUGGGGGAAUUUUGGACAAUGGGCGAAAGCCUGAUCCAGCCAUGCCGCGUGUCUGAAGAAGGCCUUCGGGUUGUAAAGGACUUUUAGUCUAGGGAGCG
rnacentral:rRNA from 1 species